rnacentral:rRNA from 1 species
UACGUAGGGGGCAAGCGUUGUCCGGAAUCAUUGGGCGUAAAGAGCGUGUAGGCGGCUCGGUAAGUCCGCUCUGAAAGCCCGGGGCUCAACCCCGGGAGGCGGGUGGAUACUGUCGACCUCGAGUCCGGAAGAGGCGAGUGGAAUUCCUGGUGUAGCGGUGAAAUGCGCAGAUAUCAGGAGGAACACCAAUGGCGAAGGCAGCUCGCUGGGACGGUACUGACGCUGAGACGCGAAAGCGUGGGGAGCAAACAGG